rfam:Schistocephalus solidus strain NST_G2 genome assembly, scaffold: SSLN_contig0003688
GAGCCUGUGGCUCAAUGGUAGAGCGUUCGACUCAAAUACCAAAGGUCACGGGUUCGAAUCCCAGGUGUU